rnacentral:sRNA from 1 species
GGGACGCCUCGCGAAGAUGGUGGUGCGCGGGGCGUGUGGCUCCCGUCGUCUGGCCAAGUCUCAGCGCAGCGCACCGGCCGGCGUCUCGCUGGCCUGGAGCCCACACCCACCGGGUCCCUGACCCCGCGCCCCCCGCGCCCGGUUCCCGGCAUGCCUCGCGCCCGUAAGGGCAACACGCUUCGGAAGGGUGGUCAGCGCCGUGGAGGAGGUGCCCGGAGCAGUGCCCAAGCUGACUCGGGUUCCAGUGAUGAUGAGGCAGCCAGUGAGGCCCGCAGCACCGCCAGUGAAUGCCCCAGCUUUCUCAGCACCACUGUAGAGGACAGCCUUGGGGGGGAUGUCGUGGAUGAGCAGGGCCAGCAGGAAGACCUUGAGGAAAAGCUGAAGGAGUAUGUGGACUGCCUCACAGACAAGAGUGCCAAGACCCGGCAGGGUGCUCUCGAGAGCCUGCGCCUGGCCCUGGCGUCCCGCCUACUCCCCGACUUCUUGCUGGAGCGCCGCCUCACACUAGCCGAUGCCCUGGAAAAGUGCCUCAAGAAAGGUUGGACCUGGGGGUACGUGGGAGACUUAAACUGGGCAGACACUGGCCCUUGCUGCAUGGGCUGACUGGAAAGCAUCCCACAGGCAAGGGCGAGGAACAAGCCCUGGCUGCUGCUGUGCUAGGCCUGCUCUGCGUGCAGCUGGGCCCUGGACUUAAGGGUGAGGAGCUGUUCCACAGCCUGCAGCCUCUGCUGGUCUCUGUGCUCAGUGACAGCACAGCUAGCCCUGCUGCCCGGCUCCACUGUGCUUCUGCCCUUGGCCUGGGCUGCUACGUGGCUGCCGCCGACAUCCAGGACCUAGUCUCUUGCCUUGCCUGCUUAGAAAGUGUUUUCAGCCGGUUCUAUGGCUUGGGCAGCUCCACAAGUCCUGUGGUUCCUGCCAGCCUGCACGGCCUGCUCUGUGCUGCCCUGCAGGCCUGGGCAUUGCUGCUCACCAUCUGCCCCAGCACCCAAAUCAGCCACAUCCUUGACAGGCAGCUGCCCCGGCUGCCCCAGCUCUUGUCCAGUGAAAGUGUGAACCUGCGGAUUGCUGCCGGUGAAACCAUCGCACUGCUCUUUGAGCUUGCCCGGGACCUUGAGGAGGAGUUUGUUUACGAGGACAUGGAGGCCCUCUGCAGUGUCCUGCGCACUCUGGCCACUGACAGUAACAAGUACCGUGCCAAGGCUGAUCGUCGGCGCCAGCGCUCUACUUUCCGCGCCGUGCUGCACUCCGUGGAGGGCGGUGAAUGCAAAGAAGAGAUAGUGCGCUUCGGCUUUGAGGUGCUCUACAUGGACAGCUGGGCUCGGCACCGGAUCUACGCUGCCUUCAAGGAAGUGCUGGGUUCAGGCAUGCACCACCACCUCCAGGUGUGGGGACGGACAGGGAGGGGACAUCUGGUGUGGUUGCGUCAGUCUGGCCUGAGCUCACUGCCCUCUGCCCCCCAGAACAAUGAGCUACUCCGUGACAUCUUUGGCCUGGGCCCUGUGCUGUUGCUGGAUGCCACUGCCCUGAAGGCCUGCAAGGUUCCACGCUUCGAGAAGCACCUGUACAAUGCUGCUGCCUUCAAAGCCCGGACCAAGGCUCGAAGCCGUGUGAGGGACAAGCGGGCAGACAUCCUGUGAAGCAGGACCUGCUGAAGAGGAGACUUUCUAUGCCCUUGGUCCGUAUUUUUAACAGAAGACAGUGCAACAACUGGUCUCCACCAGUAUUUGUCACUUUAUUUUUUUAAUGACAAAACCAAAAACAGACAUGGGGUGGGUAGCUGGGGGCCCGGACACUUGGGACCCUGGCCCCUUUGUCCCUGCAGCCAGCCCUGUGGCCUCUUCCUGUCCUGUCUCAGGCCAGGCUAAAUAUGUGCCUGCCUCAGGGCU